AAAAGUCCACCAACAAUGUUUUAUCACUGUAACAUCAAUCAACAGUUCCGAUCCACAAUUAUAUGAAUAACUCAUAAUCAUAAUUGUGGUUCUAAAUUCCUCUUCUCAUCCAGGACGAAGAUAAUUUUCAUCACAUGUCUUUACCUGAAACAUCAAAGAUCGUGGUUAUACCAAAUCACAGUUCCUGUUCUUAAUCAUACUAAUAAAUUCAUCUUUGCACU
rnacentral:lncRNA from 1 species